rnacentral:rRNA from 1 species
GAUGAACGCUGGCGGCGUGCUUAACACAUGCAAGUCGAACGGAAAGGCUCCUGCUUGCAGGGGUACUCGAGUGGCGAACGGGUGAGUAACACGUGGGUGAUCUGCCCUGCACUUCGGGAUAAGCCUGGGAAACUGGGUCUAAUACCGGAUAGGACGAUGGUUUGGAUGCCAUUGUGGAAAGUUUUUCGGUGUGGGAUGAGCUCGGGGCCUAUCAGCUUGUUGGUGGGGUAAUGGCCUACCAAGGCGUCGACGGGUAGCCGGCCUGAGAGGGUGUACGGCCACAUGGGGACUGAGAUACGGCCCAGACUCCUACGGGAGGCAGCAGUGGGGAAUAUUGCACAAUGGGGGCAAGCCUGAUGCAGCGACGCCGCGUGGGGGAUGACGGCCUUCGGGUUGUAAACUCCUUUCGCUAGGGACGAAGCGCAAGUGACGGUACCUGGAGAAGAAGCACCGGCUAACUACGUG